AACGAACGCUGGCGGCAGGCCUAACACAUGCAAGUCGAACGCCGUAGCAAUACGGAGUGGCAGACGGGUGAGUAACGCGUGGGAACAUACCCCUCGGUUCGGAAUAACUCAGGGAAACUUGAGCUAAUACCGGAUACGUCCGAGGUUUUAAUCGACCUUGGAGAAAGAUUUAUCGCCGGAGGAUUGGCCCGCGUCUGAUUAGCUUGUUGGUGAGGUAAUGGCUCACCAAGGCGACGANCAGUAGCUGGUCUGAGAGGAUGAUCAGCCACAUUGGGACUGAGACACGGCCCAAACUCCUACGGGAGGCAGCAGUGGGGAAUAUUGGACAAUGGGCGAAAGCCUGAUCCAGCCAUGCCGCGUGAGUGAUGAAGGCCUUAGGGUUGUAAACCUCUUUCAGGUGGGACGAAGCCACUCGGGUGAAUAGCCCAGAGGGUGACGGUACCGCCAGAAGAA
rnacentral:rRNA from 1 species